CUCAAGCUGUAACUCCUCGGCCUGGCACACCUCCUCCAUCACACCAUCGUCCCCACACCGUGGAAAAAACUUCCUGUUUCAAGAGUGGGAAGAGAGGUGACCAAAAAUGAAUGCUGGGUCAACAUGCAACAGAGUUACACCUCCAGACUCUGACCAAGGCGGAUGUGAAUGACGAUAGGGUAAAUCCCCUGUCUCAACAAGCCCUCAACACUGGGCAGCCCCAGCUCUAGCAGACAGUGCUUG